AACGUAGGAGACAAACGUUAUCCGGCUUUACUGGGCGUAAAGGGCGUGUAGGUGGUUGCGUAAGUCUGGCGUGAAAUAUCUCGGCUUAACCGAGGCAGGUCGUCGGAUACUGCGUAACUGGAGGACGGUAGAGGCGUGUGGAAUUCCGGGUGUAGUGGUGAAAUGCGUAGAGAUCCGGAGGAACACCAGUGGCGAAGGCGACACGCUGGGCCGUACCUGACACUGAUGCGCGACAGCAUGGGGAGCAAACAGG
rnacentral:rRNA from 1 species